UCCCGCUUAAGAAGUCCUCGGCCA
rnacentral:siRNA from 1 species